GAUAAGAACGUAGCGAAAUGCGAUACUUGGUGUGAAUUGCAGAAUCCCGUGAACCAUCGAGUCUUUGAACGCAAGUUGCGCCUCAAGCCAUUAGGUUGAGGGCACGUCUGCCUGGGCGUCACAUAUCGUUGCCUGAUGCCAGUUUCCUCGUGAUGGGUGACUGUGCAGGGCGAAUGAUGGCUUCCCGUGAGCAUUGUUGCCUCAUGGUUGGUUGAAAAUUGAGUCCUUGGUAGGGAGCGCCGUGAUAGAUGGUGGUUGAGUGACGAACGAGACCCAAUCAUGUGAGACCCCUACCGAAUUUGGCCUUCAUGACCCACAUGCGUCUUUGGAACGCUCAUGACGAGACCUCAGGUCAGGCGGGGCUACCCGCUGAGUUUAAGCAUAUCAAUAAGCGGAGGA
rnacentral:misc_RNA from 1 species